rnacentral:rRNA from 1 species
ACUCAAUAGAUACCCCGGUAGUCCUGGCAGUAAACGGUGCGCGUUUGGUGUGGGAGGAUUCGACCCCUUCUGUGCCGGAGCUAAACGCGUUAAACGCGCCGCCUGGGGAGUACGGUCGCAAGAUUAAAACUCAAAGAAAUUGACGGGGCCCGCACAAGCGGUGGAGUAUGUGGCUUAAUUCGAUGCAACGCGAAGAACCUUACCUAGCCUUGACAUGCAUCUCUAAGUCGGUGAAAGCCGGCGACCAUAGCAAUAUGGAAUUUGCACAGGUGCUGCAUGGCUGUCGUCAGCUCGUGUCGUGAGAUGUUGGGUUAAGUACCGCAACGAGCGCAACCCCUGUGAACUGUUGCCACCACACUACGGUGUGAGCACUCUGUUCAGACUGCCCUGUGAAACCGGGGAGAAGGUGGGGAUGACGUCAAGUCAGCAUGGCCCUUAGGCUAGGGCUGCACACGUACUACAAUGCUCAGUACAGAAUGAACCGAAACCGCGAGGUGGAGG